rfam:Oryza meridionalis cultivar OR44 (W2112) chromosome 8, whole genome shotgun sequence.
UAUAAGUGCAAGCGUGAGUUUUCGUAUCCAACAUUUGACCGUCCGUUUUAUUUGAAAAAAAUAUAAUUAGUAUUUUUAUUCUUAUUAUAUAAUAAAAUAUGAAUAAUACUUUAUAUAUAACUAUUUUUUAAAAAAAAUAAUAAAAUUUUUAAAUAAGAAGGAUGGUCAAAUGCUGGAUAUGGAAAACCAUAGCUAUAUUUAUA